CACCCGGUCCGGACACUGGAAGGAUUGACAGAUUAAAAGCUCUUUCUUGAUUCAGUGGGUGGUGGUGCAUGGCCGUUCUUAGUUGGUGGAGUGAUUUGUCUGGUUAAUUCCGAUAACGAACGAGACUCUAGCCUGCUAACUAGUUCGCCGGCAGCUCUUGUCGCGCGGCGCCGCUUCGGCGGCAAACUUCUUAGAGGGACAGGUGGCGUUUAGCCACACGAAGUAGAGCAAUAACAGGUCUGUGAUGCCCUUAGAUGUCCGGGGCCGCACGCGCGCUACACUGAAAGAAUCAACGUGGAUGCCCACCUGCUCCGAGAGGAGUGGGAAACCCGAUGAAUCUCUUUCGUGAUGGGGAUUGGGGCUUGUAAUUGUUCCCCAUGAACGAGGAAUUCCCAGUAAGCGUCAGUCAUCAGCUGGCGCUGAUUACGUCCCUGCCCUUUGUACACACCGCCCGUCGCUACUACCGAUUGAAUGGUUUAGUGAGACCCUCGGACUGGAGUCCGUCCGCCGCUUUCGGGUGG
rnacentral:rRNA from 1 species